rnacentral:lncRNA from 1 species
UAAAAAGAAUAUGUGUUUUCAGAUCUCUCUGGCCCAAUGACAUUUUCGGCAGCUGUGAGGAUGACCCUGUGCAGACGCUGUUACACAUCUAUUUUCAUCACCAGACACUGGGUCAGACGGGCAGCUUUGCAGUUAUAGGCUCCAACCUGGACAUGUCAGAAGCCAACUACAAAUUGAUGGAGCUUAAUCUGGAGAUAAGAGAGUCUCUACGCAUGGUGCAGUCAUACCAACUUCUAGCACAGGCCAAACCCAUUGGAAAUAUGGUGAGCACUGGAUUCUGAGAAACUUCAAACAUUUUGGAGAGAAACUAAACUGAUGAUUAAGAAUAUUAACCAAGCACCUUUUAUGAACCCUUGUGAUUCACUGAUAACUUUCCUGGCAGCAUCUACAAUUGUAAUGUAACUAAUGUCAAACUGUAUCUGAAGGACAAGAAAAUCUAACAGCUGCCAAUACCUCCCACAGUAACUGUAUGAAGAAGGAAUUUUUUAAAUUAUUUAACCUAUGUGAAAAGAAAAGGGCUAAAAGUGAUGCAUACAAAUACAUUGCUUUCUGGAGAAAGAAAAGAAUUCCAAGAAUGUUUGCAAUAAUGGCCUCUAAUACUGAGACAUCAGAAAGCAGGUGAAAUGAGGCUGAAAUCAAGGCUGGUUCAUUUUAGCCGAAGACCUGCAAAGCUGCUUGGAUUUCUUGCAGCCAUCAACAUCACCUACAACUGAUGCUUAAUCACCCAACACGAACAUCCAGACCGAUAUAUAGACUUAUUUGCAAAAACCAUUGAUUUUUUUUUUCCCCUCAAUUUAUGGGAUAAGGGUUUGGGGUGUUUUGUUUUUUGGUCUGUGUAAAGAAUUAUGUGUGUGUGAGUUGGGAUGUAUGGAUACGUGAUAGUCAUAUUUUCAAGGUGUGGAUGUCUGGUGAUAACGUCUCAGAGCAUGCCUAAAAGAGCACUGCAAGAUUAUUUUUGAAGAAAUUUUAUUUUAUUAGAUCUAACUCUUCAUAGUGUGUAAAUGUUAGAACAUUUUAAUAAUAUUUUAAAACUGGGCUCUCCCAGUAUUUCAAAAAGAAAUAAUAUAUCUGUUAACGUUAUUGGAAUGCUGCUCAGUUCUCUGAUCAGUGCUUAUGUUACAAAAUUGUUGAUAACUAACCAAAGUAGAUGCCUGCAGAGACUUUAAAAUGUAAAAUAAAGAUGUAUGCUGCCCGUCAGCUAUUCUCAUUAGAAAAGUUAACUUAUUUUACACCAUAAUUAUUCUAGAAACUGUAUAGACUAAACCCAAUAUUUUCUUGUACAUUCGUGCCAUGCACUGUUAUACAAGAAUAGGUGUACAAAGCUAGAGGAAAAACUUUGGUCAUUGAUGGGAGAAUAUAUGGUCUGCAGGCUCUGAAGUCUGCAAAGAGAUGCAAAUGCAUUUUUAUGUUUAUUCAGGACUCACAUGUGUCGUGCUAAAGGAACCUGGGGCUAGAGGGGAGAUGAAAGGCAGCCUGAAGACUACCAAAACACGCAAUAUACUUACUAAGUCUGUAGCAUAACACGAACUGGAUUCUCUGUCCUUUUUUAAAUAGCAUUUUGUAAAAGAAAUGAAUGUAGUCCCACAAUUCCUCUGAUUUGAAAGGAACACCUUGUAUUUUUUAUAUGCAUCUCUUAUCCACUGUGACUAUUCUUUUAAACUGGGCUCUGACUACUUCAGAGUUUGGAAUGUAGAAAUGAAAUGCUUAGCUUUGCCUUUUCUUGGGGGUGUGAACCCUGCCAGAAAUGUAAUUAUGCUCAAGUGCAUUAAUUGAAGGCACUGUGCACGCCGUUGGACUGCUGACUCUAGUUGUUUCCUGUAAAAUUCCAUAACUGGUCACGGCACAUUCAUAAUCACUGUAUUUUUUGACCCUGAUAAAAACAAUUAUUUUAAUGGUGUUCUGGUACUGUAAAUGGUGUCCUUUAAAUUAUUUAAUAACUUCGGGUGUUGGGGCAGGCAGAGAGGGGGGUGUCCAGAGACACAUCACACUUUAUAUCCUAUCUUAACUCUCCCCUAUUUUUCUCGCCCUCCUUACAUUCUUUUUGUUAAAAAUAAAAAACAU